ACCCCUGUGACAUACCACUUGUUGCCUCGGCGGAUCAGCCCGCUCCCGGUAAAACGGGACGGCCCGCCAGAGGACCCCUAAACUCUGUUUCUAUAUGUAACUUCUGAGUAAAACCAUAAAUAAAUCAAAACUUUCAACAACGGAUCUCUUGGUUCUGGCAUCGAUGAAGAACGCAGCAAAAUGCGAUAAGUAAUGUGAAUUGCAGAAUUCAGUGAAUCAUCGAAUCUUUGAACGCACAUUGCGCCCGCCAGUAUUCUGGCGGGCAUGCCUGUUCGAGCGUCAUUUCAACCCUCAAGCACAGCUUGGUGUUGGGACUCGCGUUAAUUCGCGUUCCUCAAAUUGAUUGGCGGUCACGUCGAGCUUCCAUAGCGUAGUAGUAAAACCCUCGUUACUGGUAAUCGUCGCGGCCACGCCGUUAAACCCCAACUUCUGAAUGUUGACCUCGGAUCAGGUAGGAAUACCCGCUGAACUUAAGCAUAU
rnacentral:rRNA from 1 species